rnacentral:rRNA from 1 species
GAUGCAGCGACGCCGCGUGAGGGAUGACGGCCUUCGGGUUGUAAACCUCUUUCAGUAGGGAAGAAGCGAAAGUGACGGUACCUGCAGAAGAAGCGCCGGCUAACUACGUGCCAGCAGCCGCGGUAAUACGUAGGGCGCAAGCGUUAUCCGGAAUUAUUGGGCGUAAAGAGCUCGUAGGCGGUUUGUCGCGUCUGCCGUGAAAGUCCGGGGCUCAACUCCGGAUCUGCGGUGGGUACGGGCAGACUAGAGUGAUGUAGGGGAGACUGGAAUUCCUGGUGUAGCGGUGAAAUGCGCAGAUAUCAGGAGGAACACCGAUGGCGAAGGCAGGUCUCUGGGCAUUAACUGACGCUGAGGAGCGAAAGCAUGGGGAGCGAACAGGAUUA